rnacentral:rRNA from 1 species
UACGGAGGGUGCUAGCGUUGUUCGGAAUCACUGGGCGUAAAGAGCACGUAGGCGGGCACGUAAGUCAAUUGUGAAAGCCCUGGGCUUAACCUGGGAAUGGCAGUUGAAACUGUGUGUCUUGAAUACUUGAGAGGGUGACGGAAUUCCUGGUGUAGAAGUGAAAUUCGUAGAUAUCAGGAGGAACACCGGAGGCGAAGGCGGUUGCCUGGCAAUGUAUUGACGCUGAGGUGCGAAAGCGCGGGGAUCAAACAGG